rnacentral:rRNA from 1 species
UACGGAGGGUGCAAGCGUUGUCCGGAAUCACUGGGCGUAAAGGGCGCGUAGGCGGCUCAUGAAGGCUGUGGUGAAAGUCCGGGGCUCAACCUCGGAUCGGCCGUGGCGACUCGUGGGCUGGAGCACUGUAGAGGCGGGUGGAAUUCCGGGUGUGGCGGUGGAAUGCGUAGAGAUCCGGAGGAAGACCGGUGGCGAAGGCGGUCUGCUGGGCAGUUUCUGACACUGAUGCGCGACAGCGUGGGGAGCAAACAGG